CAAUAGCGUAUAUUAAAGUUGUUGCGGUAAAAAAGCUCGUAGUUGGAUUUCUACCGAAGAUAGCCGGUCGGGUCUUCGACCUUGUAUCUGGUUUUGUCUUUGGUAUCCUCAUAGGGAACGUUUCUGCGCUUUAUUGCGUGGUGCGGUAUCUAUGACUUUUACUUUGAGGAAAUUAGAGUGUUCACGGCAGGCAAACGCCUUGAAUAUAUUAGCAUGGAAUAAUAACAUAGGAUCUUCGUCCUAUUUUGUUGGUUUUUAGGGCUAAGAUAAUGAUUAAUAGGGAUAAUUGGGGGCAUCUGUAUCAACGCGUCAGAGGUGGAAUUCUUGGAUUGCGUUGCGACAAACUACUGCGAAAGCAUUUGCCAAGGAUGUUUUCAUUGA
rnacentral:rRNA from 1 species